rnacentral:lncRNA from 1 species
UACUAUAGCUAGCGGUUUGUGAGUAGAUGUAUCCCAUUAUAAAAUUCGAAUUUCGGAGUCACGGAUGUAAGUUCAACGAUUUUGUAUUUACAUGAAUGAACAUGAAUAUGAAUCUAUUAAGUUUAAUUUAAAAUUAUAUAACAUAAUUAAGAGUAUUUUUUUUUUUUUUUAACUAUGUAUGUAGUUACUUGUCACAUACCUAUCAAGAAACCAGUUCAACUAUGGCGUUAGCCGCGUAGGUCAACAAUCUCAUUCGCAAGUUCUCAUAUAUCUUAUAGAAUCACAAUCAUUUAUGUUAGCAUUUACUAGACUUUAAUAACAGUUUCAAACAUUAAAAUAUCAUGCUAUCUCAAUCAUGACAACUAUUCAAA